rnacentral:rRNA from 1 species
GACGAACGCUGGCGGCGUGCCUAAUACAUGCAAGUCGAGCGCAGGAAGCUGACGGAACUCUUCGGAGAGAAGGCAGUGGAAUGAGCGGCGGACGGGUGAGUAACACGUAAGGAACCUGCCUCAAGGAUUGGGAUAACUCCGAGAAAUCGGAGCUAAUACCGGAUAGUUCAACGGACCGCAUGGUCCGCUGAUGAAAGGCGCUUCGGCGUCACCUUGAGAUGGCCUUGCGGUGCAUUAGCUAGUUGGUGGGGCAACGGCCCACCAAGGCCGACGAUGCAUAGCCGACCUGAGAGGGUGAUCGGCCACACUGGGACUGAGACACGGCCCAGACUCCUACGGGAGGCAGCAGUAGGGAAUCUUCCACAAUGGACGAAAGUCUGAUGGAGCAACGCCGCGUGAGUGAUGAAGGUUUUCGGAUCGUAAAACUCUGUUGUAAGGGAAGAACACGUACGAGAGGGAAUGCUCGUACCUUGACGGUACCUUACGAGAAAGCCACGGCUAACUACGUGCCAGCCGCCGCGGUAA